UUGGAUUUUGCAAGUGUGAAAACUGCCCA
rnacentral:piRNA from 1 species